AGCGGCGGACGGGUGAGUAACGCGUGGGUAACCUGCCCUGUACACACGGAUAACAUACCGAAAGGUAUGCUAAUACGAGAUAAUAUGCUCUUGUCGCAUGGUAGAAGUAUCAAAGCUUUUGCGGUACAGGAUGGACCCGCGUCUGAUUAGCUAGUUGGCAAGGUAACGGCUUACCAAGGCGACGAUCAGUAGCCGACCUGAGAGGGUGAUCGGCCACAUUGGAGCUGAGACACGGUCCAAACACCUACGGGAGGCAGCAGUGGGGAAUAUUGCACAAUGGGCGAAAGCCUGAUGCAGCAACGCCGCGUGAGCGAUGAAGGCCUUCGGGUCGUAAAGCUCUGUCCUCAAGGAAGAUAAUGACGGUACUUGAGGAGGAAGCCCCGGCUAACUACGUGCCAGCAGCCGCGGUAAUACGUAGGGGGCUAGCGUUAUCCGGAAUUACUGGGCGUAAAGGGUGCGUAGGUGGUUUCUUAAGUCAGAGGUGAAAGGCUACGGCUCAACCGUAGUAAGCCUUUGAAACUGGGAAACUUGAGUGCAGGAGAGGAGAGUGGAAUUCCUAGUGUAGCGGUGAAAUGCGUAGAUAUUAGGAGGAACACCAGUUGCGAAGGCGGCUCUCUGGACUGUAACUGACACUGAGGCACGAAAGCGUGGGGAGCAAACAGGAUUAGAUACCCUGGUAGUCCACGCCGUAAACGAUGAGUACUAGCUGU
rnacentral:rRNA from 1 species